rnacentral:rRNA from 1 species
CCUACGGGAGGCAGCAGUGAGGAAUUUUCCACAAUGGGCGAAAGCCUGAUGGAGCAAUACCGCGUGGAGGAAGACGGCCUGUGGGUCUUAAACUCCUUUUCUCAGAGAAGAAGAUCUGACGGUAUCUGAGGAAUAAGCUCCGGCUAACUAUGUGCCAGCAGCCGCGGUAAUACAUAGGGAGCAAGCGUUAUCCGGAAUGAUUGGGCGUAAAGCGUCUGUAGGUGGUUCGAAAAGUCUACUGUCAAAUACAUUGGCUCAACCAAUGGCAGGCAGUAGAGUACUAUCGAACUAGAGUUUGGUAGAGGUAGAGGGAAUCCCUAGCGUAACAGUGAAAUGUGUAGAUUUUAGGGAGAACACCAGCGGCGAAGGCGCUCUACUGGGCCAAUACUGACACUGAGAGACGAAAGCUAAGGGAGCGAAAAGAUUAGAUACCUUUGUAGUCUUAGCUGUAAACGAUGGAAACUAAGUGGGGAGGCGCAAGAUAUACCGUAGGUAAUAUAUUGAGNGAGACUACUCCUCGCGUGUAGACGUACGACGUUACGUUUCCGUCCGUGGGUAGGUUAGUUGUCGUUCGCGAGAGUUAGGAACGUACGAAGGAAGUUAGACGGACGUUGGAGACGUUCGCCGGACGGACGACCGACGGAGGGAGGUAGG